GUCAGGAUGGCCGAGCGGUCUAAGGCGCUGCGUUCAGGUCGCAGUCUGGUUAUCCAAGCGUGGGUUCGAAUCCCACUCCUGACA
rfam:Nematostella vectensis strain CH2 x CH6 NEMVEscaffold_232_Cont19873, whole genome shotgun sequence.